rnacentral:tRNA from 1 species
CCUUCGAUAGCUCCCAGCUGGUAGAGCCGGAGGACUGUAGAAGGACUCACAUAGAGCAUCCUUAGGAGUCGCUGGUUCGACUCCGGCUCGAAGGA